UACGAAGGCAGCGAGCGUUGUUCGGAGUUACUGGGCGUAAAGAGUGCGUAGGCGGUUUUCUAAGUUUGGUGUGAAAUCUCCCGCUUAACUGGGAGGGUGCGCCGAAGACUGGAAGGCUUGAGUAUGGGAGAGGUAAGCGGAAUUCCUGGUGUAGCGGUGGAAUGCGCAGAUAUCAGGAGGAACACCGAUGGCGAAGGCAGCUCGCUGGGACGGUACUGACGCUGAGGCGCGAAAGCGUGGGAGCAAACAGG
rnacentral:rRNA from 1 species